GACAAGAGAUGAUGUAGAGAUCCCAAAGUAGACAAAGGGUUCAGAAGAGGGGGACAAUGAUGGGCAGAGAAGAGAAAGACCAAAGAGAGUGAGAAAGACACACAGACACACACACACAAAAAAAAAACAGAUUGAGAAACCACAUGGUUAAGGAGGUGAGACCGAUCGGUGGACUGUGUGAAGGGGCAGACCCAGGUUUCAAGGUCAAAUAGAAAGCAGGUGAAUGAAAGUGGCCUGGAGUCCAGCGUAGAAAAAGACAGGGAUGGGGAGAGGACGAUAAGCAAGAGGAGGAGGAGAGGGAUCUAGAGGUAGUCUGUGAAGGAUGAAAAACCAGCAACAAGUUCCUCCUUUGGGCUUAGAGGACACAGAUUUGAGCAGAAAAAGUGUGCAGAUUGGCCUUUUAGUUAUUCCUUUUUAUUUAAUUUGAGCUUCUAGGCCUUGAGAUGUGCUACUUAUUAAAUAAAGUAUGACGUCAUGAGAAAUAUUUGGUGCUCAUAAGCCACUGGGCGCGAUUUGUUUUUGUACCUUGAUGUGUAAAACAUCCCUUUUGAAAUAUCUGCUUGUCAUUUAGGCAGCACUUAAGACUCAAUGACAGUAUUCAGAAAGAUAAAGGCAAAGCAGAAAGUACUGUGCUAAUCACACCGGCCUUCAAAAACAGGCACAAGGUACCGGAAUUAAUCAACGUCCCCAUUAAAGGCAGUUGUCAACUCAAAUUUAAUCUCAAAACGGGUGCAGUGGUGAUCAAAAUUAAAAGAACAUUAGUGCCCUCUGGUGACAUGACUGCAUUUCAUUAAUAUGCAUGGCUCCUCCGCUCCAGGAGACACAAAACACAAGGAUCCGAAGACUUUGCAUUGCACCGUGCACGCUUGUGAGCUAAGGGUAUUAAACUUGCACCAGGGUCACCUUUCAAAUUUGACUUUCACUACCUGCCACAAUCCUGCAUAUUUAUACAUUAUCGAUCACAACUUUAGCCGUGCGAUGGUCAGGAUGGGACACAAGCCUCAUCUGAGCAGAGCACAAGGUGAAUGUACAUUUACUCUUUACGGGCAGAAGCAAGUAGGAUUAUUUUGGAAAUUCAAAUCUAACUUUUGUGACUCCAAAUUUCACUCAGAGUGGACGGACUGCUUCGUAAACAGUUUUUUUUUUUUUUUUUUUUUUUUUUUUUUUUUUAAAAGCUACCCAGGUUUGAAGCUAAAAGCUGCAUCGUGUAAUCUACAUUAUAAGCAGAGUUAAACACAACAUUGUUCACUGGCAGAUUUAGAUUUGAAAUAAGUUUUUAAUUUUACCAACAUGUUUCUUCUGACUGAAAGUUAACAUCUUUGAGUCGCCCAGAGACUCUAAAAAUAUGCUACACACUAGGAAAAAAAAAUGAUAAGAAAUUUCUGUUUGCUCUAAUGCCAGAAAACUUUUUACCUUUGACAACUGAUAAGGGGAAUAAUCGCAUUUAAACAUGCCAUUUUAAAAAAUAAAAUUAACUAAAAAUGGAUGGAUAAAUCCAGAGGUAGCUGGUCACCUUGGUGGUUUGCCAUUUCAUACCUUUACAGUUUGUUUGUAUUAUUCUCAUCUUUUUUAAGAAGAAAAUGGCAUCAUCCAUUGUGUUUUGCAGUAGCCACCAGUAACACAUCUCAUGCCUGAUGGGACACUUGAUUUGAAGUAAUUUCCCUCUCACAGUCUGCUGUAAUAAGACUCAGAUAAAUAAUUUAUACCGGCUGAAGUUGUUUUGGUUACAUCAUUGAUCAUAAGCUGCCAUAUAUAAAGACAGUCAAUAGCCCCAAGCAGGAAAUCUGGAAGGUUGUGUGAUGCACUCUUUACUUUUCACGCCAUUCCAAUACACAAUAGAAAACUAUUCUGGCAUCCAUAACUCAUCUAUAAUUUUGAUGAGUUAUAAAUGCCAAAUUUCUAUCAAAUUUCUAUCAAAUUUGAUAGAAAUUUGACUUUCUAUCAAAUUUGGCAUCUAUAACUCAUCAAAAUUUUUAAAUGAAUGAAAAAUAAAACAGCAAUAUUAGAAUACAUGGCUAUGAAAUAGGUACAAAUGGAGGCAGCGAGUGACAGAAAGACAUUAAGAAUCACUAGUACUAACUUGCAAAAGGGGCAAAUUGAACCGCAGUAAAACCAAGAUGUAUGGAUACCUCAUCAAAAUGAUUAUUUUCUGAGUGUGUGUGAGUGUGUGUGUGUUUGUGCAAUUUUUAGACAGUCUGACUAAGUACUUAAACUCUGGGUUUGCUGAUUUUUAUUGUCUGCCAUUUCAAUAAGCGUUUAAUAUAAUUGUUAUUUUUUACACUGCUCCACCAGGGUUGCCAAUAAAAGUGGACGCCAGUAUAAAUACCAUUUCCUUACCUGAGCAGGUUUUAUUAAAUUAUGACGUUAAUAUUUCAAUAGCCAUAACCCUUUGCGGAGAGAAUGUUAUGGCUGUUGAAAAUGUUUAAAAAUUAUCAUUAAAUCCACUAAAUCCUUUUUUUACAGGGAGACUGACUAAAUGAGGCCCGGUGUCAUUACGACGACGGAAAGCUGCUCAUCUCGAGGGAGUCUCAGAAAGGAAAUGAUUUCCCAGCUGUCUGUUGGCUUUAGCGACGUAUUAUUGGUGGGAGUCAAGAGGUCGUCUUCGUCUCUCCCUGUGAGAAACUUAUCAUUAUAUAGUCUCACUUU